rnacentral:rRNA from 1 species
GAACGCUGGCGGCGUGCUUAACACAUGCAAGUCGAGCGAUGAAGCACCUUCGGGUGUGGAUUAGCGGCGAACGGGUGAGGAACACGUGAAGAAUCUGCCUUCAACUCUGGGAUAACUCCGGGAAACCGGGGCUAAUACCGGAUAUGAGCCUUGGCCGCAUGGCCGGGGCUGGAAAGUUUUUCGGUUGAAGAUGACUUCGCGGCCUAUCAGCUUGUUGGUGAGGUAACGGCUCACCAAGGCGACGACGGGUAGCCGGCCUGAGAGGGCGACCGGCCACACUGGGACUGAGACACGGCCCAGACUCCUACGGGAGGCAGCAGUGGGGAAUAUUGGGCAAUGGAGGAAACUCUGACCCAGCGACGCCGCGUGAGGGAUGAAGGCCUUCGGGUUGUAAACCUCUUUCAGUAGGGAAGAAGCGAAAGUGACGGUACCUACAGAAGAAGCACCGGCUAACUAUGUGCCAGCAGCCGCGGUAAUACAUAGGGUGCAAGCGUUGUCCGGAAUUAUUGGGCGUAAAGAGCUCGUAGGUGGUUCGAUACGUCGGAUGUGAAAAUCAGGGGCUCAACCCCUGACCUGCAUUCGAUACGGUCGAGCUAGAGUUUGGUAGGGGAGACUGGAAUUCCUGGUGUAGCGGUGGAAUGCGCAGAUAUCAGGAGGAACACCGAUGGCGAAGGCAGGUCUCUGGGCCAAUACUGACACUGAGGAGCGAAAGCGUGGGGAGCGAACAGGAUUAGAUACCCUGGUAGUCCACGCCGUAAACGGUGGGCGCUAGUUGUGCGAACCUUCCACGGUUUGUGCGACGCAGCUAACGCAUUAAGCGCCCCGCCUGGGGAGUACGAUCGCAAGAUUAAAACUCAAAUGAAUUGACGG